UCGUAACUCAGCGAGGUAGAGUGUAGGUCUUUUAAACCAAAAGUCGUGGGUUCAAGUCCCACCGA
rnacentral:ncRNA from 12 species